rnacentral:rRNA from 1 species
UACGGAGGGGACUAGCGUUGUUCGGAAUUACUGGGCGUAAAGCGCACGUAGGCGGAUUGUAAGUCAGGGGUGAAAUCCCGGGGCUCAACCUCGGAACUGCCUUUGAUACUGCAAACCUCGAGUCCGGAAGAGGUGAGUGGAAUUCCUAGUGUAGAGGUGAAAUUCGUAGAUAUUAGGAAGAACACCAGUGGCGAAGGCGGCUCACUGGUCCGGUACUGACGCUGAGGCACGAAAGCGUGGGGAGCGAACAGG